AUCCAGCUGAUGAGAUCCAGAUAGGACGAAACACGCAUCCUGGAU
rnacentral:hammerhead_ribozyme from 1 species